AUACGUAGGGGGCGAGCGUUAUCCGGAAUUAUUGGGCGUAAAGAGUACGUAGGUGGUUUUGUAAGCGAUGGGUGAAAGCCUGCGGCUUAACCGCAGCGAGCCUUUCGAACUGCAAGACUUGAGUGCAGGAGGGGAAAGUGGAAUUCCUGGUGUAGCGGUGGAAUGCGUAGAUAUCAGGAGGAACACCGGUGGCGAAGGCGACGUUCUGGACUGUAACUGACACUGAGGUACGAAAGCGUGGGGAGCAAACAGGAUUAGAUACCCUGGUAGUCCACGCUGUAAACGAUGACAACUAAAUAGUGCCGCGAGGCAGUGUUGAAGCUAACGCAUUAAGUUGUCCGCCUGGGGAGUACGGUCGCAAGACUGAAACUCAAAGGAAUUGACGGGG
rnacentral:rRNA from 1 species